rnacentral:misc_RNA from 1 species
CAUUGCUGGUGAAAAGAGUCGAUUGUAGUAGUUCAAUUGCGGGAUCUAUGAGGAGGAGGAGGAUUCGGUGGAGAUUCAGAAUAGAAAGGGAAAUCAAAAUGUUGUGAUGUGAAAAUUAGUCUGCGGUUCCAAUUUUAUUUUAGAGCGAUCGUCUUCUAGAUUAUUUGUUGGGGGGCAUUGACAUUUUUUAUUGACUGGGG